rnacentral:rRNA from 1 species
GGAUAACCUGCCCUAUCGUCUGGAAUAACCUCGGGAAGCUGAGAAUAAGGCCGGAUAGUUCACAAAGCCUGGAACGGUUUGUGAAUCAAGGUAGGAUGGGUCUGCGGCGUAUCAGGUAGUAGGGGGUGUAAAGGACCCCCUAGCCUUCGACGCGUACGGGUGUUGGGAGACAUAGCCCGGAGAUGGAUUCUGAGACACGAAUCCAGACCCUACGGGGUGCAGCAGGCGCGAAAACUUCACACUGCAGGAAACUGUGAUGAGGGAACUCCAAGUGUGUGCACUAUGUGUACACUUUUAUGAACUUUUAAUCGGUUCAGGAAUAAGGGCUGGGAAAGACCGGUGCCAGCCGCCGCGGUAAUACCGGCAGCUCAAGUGGUCGUCGCUUUUAUUGGGCCUAAAACGUCCGUAGCCUGUUUGGUAAAUCUGUGGGUAAAUCAACUCGCUCAACGAGUUGAAUUCUGCAGAGACUGCCAGACUAGGGACCGGGAGAGGUGUGGGGUACUCGAGGGGUAGGGGUAAAAUCCUGUCAUCCUUCGAGGACCACCAGUUGCGAAGGCGCCACACUGGAACGGAUCCGACGGUCAGGGACGAAGCCUAGGGGCACGAACCGGAUUAGAUACCCGGGUAGUCCUAGGUGUAAACGCUGUGAACUUGGUGUCGGGGGUCCGCAAGGGGUCCCCGGUGCCGGAGUGAAGAUGUUAAGUUCACUGCCUGGGGAGUACGGUCGCAAGGCUGAAACUU